AAAAGACUUAGUCCUAACCUUACUAUUAAUUCUUGCCAGACCUAUACAUGCAAGUAUCCGCGCCCCAGUGUAAAUGCCCCUAGUCCCUUACCAAGACAAGAGGAGCAGGCAUCAGGCACACCCUUUGUAGCCCAAGACGCCUUGCCUAGCCACACCCCCACGGGUACUCAGCAGUAACUAAUAUUAAGCAAUAAGUGCAAACUUGACUUAGUCAUGGCAAACCAGGGCUGGUAAAUCUUGUGCCAGCCACCGCGGUCAUACAAGAAGCCCAAAUUAAUCGUUCACGGCGUAAAGAGUGGCCCAACACUAUCGUCCCACGCCUGAGGCCUAGAUAUGUCCAAGCCGUCACAAGCCCAAGACACCUUCAAGCCCCCCCACCAACUCCACCUCAGCUCCAACGAUCAACUACCCCCCACGAAAGCCAGGGGACAAACUGGGAUUAGAUACCCCACUAUGCCUGGCCGUAAAUUCAGAUGUCCUCCCUCAACCCAAACAUUCGCCAGGGAACUACGAGCGCAAACGCUUAAAACCCUAAGGACUUGGCGGUGUCCCAAACCCAUCUAGAGGAGCCUGUUCUAUAAUCGAUAACCCACGCUACACCCGACCCCCCCUCGCCCCAAGCAGCCUAUAUACCGCCGUCGUCAGCUCACCUCCCCUGAGAGACCAACAGUGAGCACAAUAGCCCCACUCGCUAAAAAGACAGGUCAAGGUACAGCCCAUGGGGGGGAGAGAAAUGGGCUACAUUUUCUGACUCAGAAGACCAACGAAAGAGGGCUUGAAAACAGCCCUCAGAAGGCGGAUUUAGCAGUAAAACAUGACCACCAUGCUUGUCUUAAACCGGCCCUGGGACACGUACAUACCGCCCGUCACCCUCAUCGCAAGCAUUCNUUCCCCCCAACCCCAACUAGAACCCCCCCCCCCGCCAAAGAUGAGGUAAGUCGUAACAAGGUAAGUGUACCGGAAGGUGCACUUAGCAUAC
rnacentral:ncRNA from 1 species